UAAACGUCUCAGUUCGGAUUGUAGUCUGCAACUCGACUACAUGAAGCUGGAAUCGCUAGUAAUCGCGGAUCAGAAUGCCGCGGUGAAUACGUUCCCGGGUCUUGUACACACCGCCCGUCACACCAUGGGAGUCGGAAAUGCCCGAAGCCAGUGACCCAACUGAAAGGAGGGAGCUGUCGAAGGCAGGUCUGAUAACUGGGGUGAAGUCGUAACAAGGUAGC
rnacentral:rRNA from 1 species